ensembl:lncRNA
AUGGGAGCCAGCUGCCGGGGAAGCGAGGGGGGGGGGAGGGAGGGAAGGUGGCGGCCGGCGGGGCAGCGGAAGGAGGAAAAGAGGAAAAACAAACAAACCCAAAGACAACUUUGCCCGGCGGAGCGGGCGGGCGGCAAACUUUCCCACGGCGGGGGCGGCGGGGACGGGACACACACACACACACACACACACACACACACACACCGGGCUCCCGCUCUCCUCAGGGCAGGCGCGGGCCGGGCUCGGCGGCGCCGCUGCUGCCGCCCCGCUCCCGCCGGACUCGCUCCGCGUCCCCCUCAGCCGGGCUCGCCUGCGCCAGCCCGCGCCGAGCCCGCGAUCAUCGGCCGGACUCGCCCCCCUGGGCCGAGCUCGCUGGGGAGGCGGCUCUUCCACUCCCCGCUCCCCGAGUCGCUGGCUUCCCCACACGCCCCUUCUCCGCCUUCAACCGCCGCCGGCUGCUCUCCGCGCCUCCGCCGUCAUCCUGCCCCCUCCCGCUCACCACCGGCGGCCGCUACGAAGUGUCCCCGCCCGCUGAAGCCCCGGAGCCGACGGGAGGGGGAUGAUGAAGAGACACCUGUCCCAGAGCCAUAAAAGUGUGUGGAAAGGCUCCAGAGAGAAAUACUCCAUCACUGUGGAAAACCAGCAUGACUUCAGUGGUGGAAGAUGAGCAGUGUGCAAGUGCAUCAACACAAGGCAUGAAGAGAGCAGCAAAAGGUUUCAUGCAUGGAUCUGUCUGACAAUUUGAUAAAUCA